rnacentral:rRNA from 1 species
ACGCAGCGAAAUGCGAUAAGUAAUGUGAAUUGCAGAAUUCAGUGAAUCAUCGAAUCUUUGAACGCACCUUGCGCCCUUUGGUAUUCCGAAGGGCAUGCCUGUUUGAGUGUCAUUAAAUUAUCAACCUUGCUCGCUUUUACCGGCUUGAGUUAGGCUUGGAUGUGAGGGUCUUUGCUGGCUUCCUUCAGUGGAUGGUCUGCUCCCUUUAAAUGCAUUAGUUGGGAUCUCUUGUGGACCGUCACUUGGUGUGAUAAUUAUCUAUGCCAUCUUGACUUUGAAGCAAACUAAUGGGAACCUGCUCAUAACCGUCCUUUCAGGGCAACUCUUGACAUUUUGACCUCAAAUCAGGUAGGACUACCCGCUGAACUUAAGCAUAUCAAUAAGCGGAGGAAAAGAAACU